GGUGGCUUAGCUCAGUGGCUAGAGCUUAGAUCUUGUGAUUCGAAGGUCCUGGGUCUAUUCUCCCCAGAGGCAGAA
rnacentral:tRNA from 1 species